rnacentral:rRNA from 1 species
AUUGAACGCUGGCGGCAUGCCUUACACAUGCAAGUCGAACGGUAACGGGCCUUCGGGUGCCGACGAGUGGCGAACGGGUGAGUAAUACAUCGGAACGUGCCCGAUCGUGGGGGAUAACGAGGCGAAAGCUUUGCUAAUACCGCAUACGCUCUACGGAUGGAAGCAGGGGACCGCAAGGCCUUGCGCGGACGGAGCGGCCGAUGGCAGAUUAGGUAGUUGGUGGGAUAAAAGCUUACCAAGCCGACGAUCUGUAGCUGGUCUGAGAGGAUGAUCAGCCACACUGGGACUGAGACACGGCCCAGACUCCUACGGGAGGCAGCAGUGGGGAAUUUUGGACAAUGGGCGCAAGCCUGAUCCAGCCAUGCCGCGUGCAGGAUGAAGGCCUUCGGGUUGUAAACUGCUUUUGUACGGAACGAAAAGCCUUCUUCUAAUACAGGAGGGUCAUGACGGUACCGUAAGAAUAAGCACCGGCUAACUACGUGCCAGCAGCCGCAGUAA